GUAGCGAUUCGGGACUACCAGCUCCUUAUGAACUCCCCCAGGGCCGGAAGGCAGCAAGGGUAGUAAGUUGUAGCGGUGAGAUCUUGAAUCGCUACUUU
rnacentral:SRP_RNA from 1 species